rnacentral:rRNA from 1 species
ACCCUUAGAUGUUCUGGGCCACACGCGCGUUACACCGAUGAAGCCAGCGAGUAUAUCGCCUUCACCGGAAGGUGCGGGUAAUCUUGUGAAACUUCAUCGUGCUGGGGAUAGACCAUUGCAAUUAUUGGUCUUGAACGAGGAAUUCCUAGUAAGCAUGAGUCAUCAACUCGUGCUGAUUACGUCCCUGCCCUUUGUACACACCGCCCGUCGCUACUACCGAUUGAAUGGUUUAGUGAGAUCUCGGGAUUGGAGACGUUGCGCCGCAAGGCACAUCGUCCUCGAGAACUUGAUCAAACUUGAUCAUUUAGAGGAAGUAAAAGUCGUAACA